rnacentral:rRNA from 1 species
GACGACCUCUGGCGGCGUGCUUAACACAUGCAAGUCGAACGAAAAGACGGAAAGAGCUUGCUCUUUUCAGAAUUGAGUGGCAAACGGGUGAGUAACACGUAAACAACCUGCCUUCAGGAUGGGGACAACAGACGGAAACGACUGCUAAUACCGAAUAAGUUCCAAGAGCCGCAUGGCCCAUGGAAAAAAAGGUGGCCUCUACCUGUAAGCUAUCGCCUGAAGAGGGGUUUGCGUCUGAUUAGCUGGUUGGAGGGGUAACGGCCCACCAAGGCGACGAUCAGUAGCCGGUCUGAGAGGAUGAACGGCCACACUGGAACUGAGACACGGUCCAGACUCCUACGGGAGGCAGCAGUGGGGAAUCUUCCGCAAUGGGCGAAAGCCUGACGGAGCAACGCCGCGUGAGUGAUGACGGCCUUCGGGUUGUAAAACUCUGUGAUCCGGGACGAAAAGGCAGAGUGCGAAGAACAAACUGCAUUGACGGUACCGGAAAAGCAAGCCACGGCUAACUACGUGCCAGCAGCCGCGGUAAUACGUAGGUGGCAAGCGUUGUCCGGAAUUAUUGGGCGUAAAGCGCGCGCAGGCGGCUUCCCAAGUCCCUCUUAAAAGUGCGGGGCUUAACCCCGUGAUGGGAAGGAAACUGGGAAGCUGGAGUAUCGGAGAGGAAAGUGGAAUUCCUAGUGUAGCGGUGAAAUGCGUAGAGAUUAGGAAGAACACCGGUAGCGAAGGCGACUUUCUGGACGAAAACUGACGCUGAGGCGCGAAAGCGUGGGGAGCAAACAAGGGUGAUACCCUGGUAGUCC